rnacentral:rRNA from 1 species
CGAACCUGCAGCUGGAUCAUUUU